rnacentral:rRNA from 1 species
CGGUAGCGUAGGAAUAAGCAUCGGCUAACUCCGUGCCAGCAGCCGCGGUAAUACGGAGGAUGCAAGCGUUAUCCGGAUUCAUUGGGUUUAAAGGGUGCGCAGGCGGAGAAAUAAGUCAGUGGUGAAAAACUGCCGCUCAACGGUAGUCUUGCCAUUGAUACUGUUUUUCUUGAGUAUGGAUGAGGUAGGCGGAAUGUGCAGUGUAGCGGUGAAAUGCAUAGAUAUUGCGCGGAACUCCGAUGGCGCAGGCAGCUUACUGAGCCAUUACUGACGCUCAGGCACGAAAGCGUGGGGAUCAAACAGGAUUAGAUACC